ensembl:snRNA U6 U6 spliceosomal RNA
GUGCUCACUUUGGCAGCACACAUACUAAAAUUGGAAGGAUACAGAGAUAAACAUGGUCCCUGCACAAGCAUGACAUGCAAAUUCAUGAAGCAUUCCAUAUUUUU